CCUACGGGAGGCAGCAGUAGGGAAUAUUGCUCAAUGGGGGAAACCCUGAAGCAGCAACGCCGCGUGGAGGAUGAAGGUUUUCGGAUCGUAAACUCCUUUUGUUAGAGAAGAUAAUGACGGUCUCUAACGAAUAAGCACCGGCUAACUCCGUGCCAGCAGCCGCGGUAAUACGGAGGGUGCAAGCGUUACUCGGAAUCACUGGGCGUAAAGAGCGCGUAGGCGGGAUAGCAAGUCAGAUGUGAAAGCCUAUGGCUUAACCAUAGAACUGCAUUUGAAACUGUUAUUCUAGAGUAUGGGAGAGGUAGGUGGAAUGCGUGGUGUAGGGGUAAAAUCCGUAGAGAUCAAGAGGAAUACUCAUUGCGAAGGCGACCUGCUAGAACAUGACUGACGCUGAUGCGCGAAAGCGUGGGGAGCAAACAGGAUUAGAUACCCCUGUAGUC
rnacentral:rRNA from 1 species